rnacentral:misc_RNA from 1 species
GAGAGAGAGAGAGAGAGGGGCUAUAAGUUGUCCGUACUCAUCUCUGUCACUGUCACUGGCACUGUCAAGAGGCCCAAAAGGACCGUCACUACUUUACCAUUUCCGGUGUCCAUAACCAAAAUCUUUUAUGCUUUUUAAUUAUUUUUUUGUAUAGUCUUGUCAACGCUUUCUGUAAUUCUAUGCACAUAUUUUAGAUCCCAAAAUUCCUCCUCUCCCAAAAUUCCUCCUCUCCUUUGUCAUAUUUCCAAUUUUUCUACGCACUUUUUCGUUUUACUAGACAUUUUCUUGAAAUUGCUUUCAGUGUCUUCUUCUAUUCUUCCACCCAUUUCCUCAAAACGUCUUCUUUAAGCUUCAUUCAUUGUAAUAAAUGUCCAUUUUUUCGUGUGGGUCAUGAAAAGUUCGUUUUCCUAAUCAACUUUUCUUCUUACGAGAUAUUUUACCUUUUCUUGCUUAGCCUUUUUCUUUAUAGCCUCUAUUUUUAGGUCCUCUUGUUGAUUGAAGUUCAUUUUUUGAAAAAAGGUCAAGCUUUUUUGAGUGAGGUAUGGAUGCUGAUCAAGAUGGGUAUGCUGAAUUUGCAGAGGGCAGGGAGACAAGGUACUAUAGUGCCACUACUGGAAUUGGUCUUGGCAAACAGAAUGUGGGCGAGCCUGAAAUGGGUUUUCAAGACAAAGUUAGAGAGUUCUUGAAGGGGGCAGCUGAAAUGAGUGUGCAAUUCGCUAAGGGGUGCAGGGAUGUUGUGGUGCAGAGUUUAGGAAGGGAAGAUUCCUUUAUUGUGCGGAAUUUUGGGAGAAGUUCUUAUAUAGGGAAGAAAGUUAGGUGUGGCUGUGAGAGGAUUUGUCAGAAAUUGAAGGUUUUCAAUGAGUACUUGCCUGAGGAUAAGGAUCCAGUGCAUGCUUGGUCAGUGAUAUGCAUCGUGUCUGUUCUUGCUUUUGCAGUCUUGAGUUUAAGUACUAAACAUGACACUUCAGCCACAUGCAUAAAGAAGGUGUUCAUACAUCCUCCUAGUGCUGACCGCAUAUUGCUUCCAGAUGGUAGAUACAUGGCAUAUAGGGAGCAAGGUGUUCCAGCUGACAGAGCUAGAUUUUCAAUGAUAGCUCCACAUACUUUUCUUUCCUCUCGACUUGCAGGAAUACCUGGACUUAAGACUUCACUCCUGGAAGAGUUUGGCGUCUACUUGUUAACAUAUGAUCUUCCUGGUUUUGGAGAGAGUGAUCCUCACCCAAACAGAAACCUCGAGUCAUCGGCGUUGGAUAUGUUAUGUCUAGUAAAUGUUCUGGGUGUUAAGGACAAGUUCUGGGUGGUUGGAUACUCAAGUGGGAGCCUUCAUGCUUGGGCAGCACUUAGAUACAUUCCUGAUAAACUUGCAGGUGCUGUUAUGUUUGCUCCUAUGGUUAACCCAUAUGAUUCAUUGAUGACCAAGGGUGAGAGGCGUGGAAUUUGGGAGAAGUGGACACGGAAAAGAAAAUUUAUGUAUUUCUUAGCACGGAGGUUUCCUAGAUUUCUUUCCUACUUCUACCAUCAGAGCUUCCUGUCUGGAAAGCACGAUCAGAUAGACACAUGGCUCUCACUUUCAUUAGGAAAGAGAGAUAAAGCUUUGAUAGAGGAUCCAAUCUAUGAAGAAUUCUGGCAAAGGGAUGUAGAGGAGUCGAUCCGACAGGGAAAUGCAAAACCGUUCAUAGAGGAAGCUGUUCUGCAAGUUUCGAAUUGGGGCUUCAGCCUUGCAGACAUCAAGUUGCAGAAGAAAAAGCCAGAGAAAGGUGUCCUCAAUUGGCUCAAAUUUGUGCUUACUAGAUCUGAAGAGUACACAGGUUUCCUUGGCCCCAUACAUGUAUGGCAGGUAAGUGAUAUCAUUGUCCUUUUCUCCAUCUUUCUGCUGCUUCAAACUUCAAGCUUCACCGCUGUGGUACUUGAAAAUUUUCUUGGUUCAGUUUCCUAAUGUCAUGAGAUCUUACAGAAGUGCGCUCAAAUGAUUUUUCUAGGCUUCCUCUGUUCUGCAAUGCAUGUAUUGAUGUAUUCUUCGCUCUUCAUCUUAAUGCUCCAACAAGGCAUUAGCCAUAGGAUGAAUUAACUAAAUACUUCUUUGGGGGACUAUUUGCUUCUUAAGGGUCAUCUUGAUAAAACUUUUGUGAUUGCUUUGUAUUUGAAAGAAACCUUUUGAACUAAAGUGAUGUGAUCGCUGGCUGUACUUGGUUGUUCUUUCCUUGCAUGAUAACAGCUUUUAGAAAUAAAUUUCAAGCUUGGUGAGGCUUAAGCUCUGGUUAAUGCAAUAAAGGGUGGGUUUAAAAAUUAUCAAGCAAAUGAUUCAAACUAGGCACCAAAUUCAUAGAGCCCUGGAAAUGCAUGUGUUCCUUGUUUUGAAUGGUUAUAAACUUUCAUCAGUAGAAUUAAGCUAAUUUGCUAUUGAUUCUACUCUUUUUUAUUUUUAUCUUUUGGCAAUUGUGCAGGGGAUGGAUGAUAAGGUCGUUCCACCACUAACGACUGAUUUUGUACACCGGAUUCUCCCAGGGGCUGCAGUGCAUAAGCUCCCAUACGAGGGCCAUUUCACAUAUUUCUAUUUUUGCGAUGAAUGCCAUAGGCAGAUAUUCAGCACACUUUUUGGGACCCCACAAGGCCCGAUAAACAAUACCAUAGAAGUAGAUCAAACUCCAUAUGAAGAUAGUGUGAAGGUGCAGGAGGUGGAUCAGACAGAGGAACAGGCAGAUCAAAACUCCAUUAGCAGAUGAUAUUAAAGAGCAAGCAGAAACACAUACCAAAGACUAAGAUAAGGCUUGGUAAUUAUAAUUUAGAAAGUUACAAUUUACCAAUGUAUAUAGCACAGGUUUACUCUAUUACUCUUGGGGUGAAGGUUUAGAAACCCACAUCAUUCUUUUUGUUAUGGCUUUUUAAUCAUCGUGGAAGUUGAUGGUAGGGAAUUGGGUAUUGCUGGGAAGGUUUUGAGAUACUGCCUGGAUGGCAAAAUAUACAUCAAAGUUAAGUUGUUCUGAACUUCUAACUACACAAUUUGUUUAUGCUCGAGUCAGCUUGAAAACUGCAUAUUUUAUAGAUAAAAAAUCUCUUUUCAAUGAAUUCU